CCUUACGCAACGUGUAGGCAACAGCUGAUUGAGAGCAUGAAAUGUUUCAAUGCUUCCAGCGUGAGAGAGAGAAACCGUUAGGAGAGAAAAACACCCAACCCGCGCUCUCGUAAACCCAAACGUAAACAUCUGUCGGAUAGGUGCUUGCAAUUUAACUUACACGACAAUGUAAACAUUAUUUGCCUGAGUCGGAUAGGACUUUUAAUAUUUUCUACGAUUAUUUACCAUUAUUUUUACGAUUAUUUACCAAAGUAGUGCUAGAAUCUUGUUGUAGGCUGAUAAACUAGAGUUCAGAAUCUGGUGAACUGGUUUUGAGGACAAAUCAGCAACGGCGAGAACAGAGAAACAGAGUCGAUCUCGCUAGCCGGAACGAGGAGCCCAAGAACGAUAACUCUCCAAGCUGGGGACUUCCGGGGACUGGGAACAGCCGUUGGUGUCCUGAAGGCGGUUCGUUGUGGCUUUCCGCAAUGCGUCCAGUGGGUGGAGGACGCCAACCAGCUGAGGAGGGAGGCAUUCGGUGUUAGCCAGCGGCUCAAGCGGUGAAUUGUGCAAGAGAUUGCCAACGGGUACGGAGUUUAUCCGCCGCACUGCAAGAAAAAGUAAACCAUCCUGCCCGAUCCGGUGUUGCUGGACGUGGAGAAGCGCACCCCGGCAAAGCGAACGGCCGAGGGCAAACCAAAGAAAAGGGAGAUUUAAGAUUUUGCUGUUUCCUGUUUAAUUUUCACGAUAUUUGAUUAUUUAGGUGGAUGGUUCCCGUGGAAGUUAAAAAAUACCACUUUUUUAGUUUUCUGUUCUGAUUUUAAAUAAAAAAUUGAAGAUUUUGCUCCAAUUCAAAUAAUGUUUGGCUUCUUGAUUUUUAUUUUUUGAAAAGUGAGAUGAAAUCCUCAAAAAAUAUUUUGACCUAGGCAAAAUGUCACAGAAAUUUUAAGUUAUUUCAAUCAUUCUGGCUGGACAAGAUAAUUAAAUGUUGCUUUGGUAUGAAAUUCAAUAAAAUAUAAAAAGAUAAAAUAUAAGCAAAUCAGCGAUAACUUUUUAGCUAUAUUAGAAAAAUUACUAAGCCUACGGAUUAUGUAUCCUGCGAGAAUCGACCUCGGCGGAAGAACGUUCCGGAAGCGGCCGUAGACGUAGUGGUCGUCGUUGGCCUAGCCAUCAUCGAGGAAGUCGUCACCACGCAGAAACAGCAAUUACGAGACUGCAGUAAACUGCAAUGACGAAGUCGUUGGCGUCGCAAUGGAAACGACUAUCUUGGCCGACGGGGACGAUAUCAGUACGGAGAAGCUGUUUCCGUUGCCAUCGGCUUCCGAAGAGUAAACCCAGCAAUCUCCACCGCUACCGCCGAUGCCACCCCUUUCUCUGUUGCCACCGACCUGUCCAACGCCCGCGUCGGAACGUUCCCAGCAGCAGCAGAGUUCCAACAUCGCAGUAACCGGUUCCUCCAGCGACGAAUGUCGCUACGCCCGCCAAAUAACAAGGUCUUUCUCACUUGGUUUUAUAUUCCCAAAUCAUUUCUGUUUUAUCAAGUACCGAGGUAACAAUUUUACAUCUUUUCAAUUUAAUAAAGUAAAAUUUGACAAAAAAGUUGUGCAAGACUUUAACAAACUGUUUAUGAAUCGCAAAUCACAAGCCAUGUUGCCUUGUCUACGUCGAUCGCUCGGUGGAGCAGAGCAGAGUUUGGGGAAAAACUUUGGGCCAGUUUUUCAGCAGUUGAUGUCAACGACGUGAUGCACCGACCACCACAUCUACGGCCGCUUCCGGGACUUUUAAUUCAGCCGCGGCGGGUGAAACCAUCAGAGCUGGAACGCUCACGACGUUGCCGCUGACCUCCUUGUCCUUCGUAACGUUCGAGGUCGA